rnacentral:rRNA from 1 species
AGAGUUUGAUCUGGCUCAGGACGAACGCUGGCGGCGCGCUUAACACAUGCAAGUCGAGCGAGAACCGGGACUUCGGUCCUGGGGACAGCGGCGAACGGGUGAGUAACACGUGGGUAAUCUGCCCUCGAUUCUGGGAUAGCCCGGGGAAACCCGGAUUAAUACCGGAUAGCCUUUCGAGCUUUCGGGCUUGGAAGAAAAGGUAGCUUCGGCCUCCGAUCGAGGAUGAGCCCGCGGUGGAUUAGCUUGUUGGCGGGGUAAUGGCCCACCAAGGCGACGAUCCAUAGCUGGUCUGAGAGGACGAUCAGCCACACUGGGACUGAGACACGGCCCAGACUCCUACGGGAGGCAGCAGUGGGGAAUCUUGCGCAAUGGGCGAAAGCCUGACGCAGCGACGCCGCGUGGGGGAAGAAGGCCUUAGGGUUGUAAACCUCUUUCAGGUGGGACGAAGCCACUCGGGUUAAUAGCCCAGAGGGUGACGGUACCGCCAGAAGAAGCCCCGGCUAACUACGUGCCAGCAGCCGCGGUA